rnacentral:rRNA from 1 species
AACGAACGCUGGCGGCAUGCCUAACACAUGCAAGUCGAACGGACGUAGCAAUACGUGAGUGGCGGACGGGUGAGUAACGCGUGGGAACCUGCCCGGAAGUGAGGAAUAACCGAGGGAAACUUCGGCUAAUACCGCAUAUGCCCUGAGGGGCAAAGGCUUCGGCCGCUUCCGGAGGGGCCCGCGUCCGAUUAGCUAGUUGGUGGGGUAACGGCCUACCAAGGCAGUGAUCGGUAGCUGGUCUGAGAGGACGAUCAGCCACACUGGGACUGAGACACGGCCCAGACUCCUACGGGAGGCAGCAGUGGGGAAUAUUGGACAAUGGGCGAAAGCCUGAUCCAGCCAUGCCGCGUGAGUGAUGAAGGCCCUAGGUUGUAAAGCUCUUUCGCCAGGACGAUAAUGACGGUACCUGGAUAAGAAGCCCCGGCUAACUUCGUGCCAGCAGCAGCCGCGGUAA